rnacentral:rRNA from 1 species
GAUUGAACUGAAGAGUUUGAUCCUGGCUCAGAUUGAACGCUGGCGGCAUGCCUUACACAUGCAAGUCGAGCGGCAGCGCGGGGGCAACCCU